rnacentral:rRNA from 1 species
AGUGAACGCUGGCGGUAGGCCUAACACAUGCAAGUCGAACGGCAGCACAGUAAGAGCUUGCUCUUACGGGUGGCGAGUGGCGGACGGGUGCGGAAUACAUCGGAAUCUACUUUUUCGUGGGGGAUAACGUAGGGAAACUUACGCUAAUACCGCAUACGACCUACGGGUGUAAGCAGGGGAUCUUCGGACCUUGCGCGAUUGAAUGAGCCGAUGUCGGAUUAGCUAGUUGGCGGGGUAAAGGCCCACCAAGGCGACGCUCCGUAGCUGGUCUGAGAGGGUGGUCCCCCAGCUGGGAAGUGAGGAACGGCCCAGACUCCUACGGGAGGAAGCAGUGGGGAAUAUUAGGCAAUGGAGGAAAGGGGGAUCCAACCAUACGGGGGGGAUGAAGAAGGCGUUCGGGUUGGAAAGCCCUGUUGUUGGGAGAGAAGAAAAGCAGGUUAAUCCGCGGCUAUACUGACGGUACCAGAAGAAGAAGCACCGGCUAACUUCGUG